GCAUCUGCAAAUUCAGGUGCUGGGUUUGCUACCCCGUGGGAAUCAUCGCGACAGAAAUGACACGCCGCGAGCGUGUUUUUU
rnacentral:sRNA from 1 species